ACGAAGAUCUGCAUCAUAAC
rnacentral:miRNA from 1 species